rnacentral:rRNA from 1 species
GACGAACGCUGGCGGCGUGCUUAACACAUGCAAGUCGAACGAAGUGGCGAACGGGUGAGUAACGCGUAAUAAACCUGCCCUUCAGAGGGGGACAACAGUUGGAAACGACUGCUAAUAACGAAUACUGCAGGAGGGGACUGCGUCUGAUUAGCUAGUGGGAGGGGUCACGGCCCAACAAGGCGAUGAGCAGUAGCCGGUCGGAGAGGACGAACGGACACAUUGGGACUGAGACACGGCCCAGACUCCGACGGGAGGCAGCAGUGGGGAAUCUUCCGCAAUGGACGAAAGUCUGACGGAGUAACGCCGCGGGAGGGAUGACGGCCUUCGGGUUGUAAAGCUCUGUUAAUCGGGACGCGGUACCGGAAUAGAAAGCCACGGCUAACUACGUGCCAGCCGCCGCGGUAAUUC